GGAGGAACACGAUGGAUGAAGAAGGAGUUGACGACGUCUAUGCGAGCUAGGAACGUCUUCCCAGUCAGUUGCUUGUAGGGUUAAGGCAGAUGACUUGGGCUCUACGCUGCUGAAGUGAUUCUGCUACUCUGAUGAUUAGAUUAGGCCCUUCGAGGCUAUCUUGUAAAGUUGGGUCAUGUGACUUUAUUGUAAUUUUCUUAUUCCGUUUUGUAAAGGAUGAUGUAAUUUGAUAUCAGUUCGGUUAUGUGUUCACGGCACACUGAUCAUGGGAACGUGAACUGUAUACAUAACAGGGUAUUUCGGACAGCUAGUCCGGGGUCCCCACAGAGCUGAUCUGUAACACCCCAACUUUUGCAACCUUGAUUAAUUGUCCAUAUUUCAAAAAUUAGGGGGAACAAAAACUUUUUCUA